GGAGCUCGGCCCGGGCUGUUCGCUGGGCCGGGAGGCGGCAGCGCCCCCGGGGCCCCCUAGUUCGGACUAUCCAUUCAAGUUCCUGGGGCCCUGCGCCCGAUUCGGAGGUGGCACCCGCCGCCCUCCCUGCCUCUGUGCCCCCGUUUCCAGCCACCGCGCGGAAAUUUAGGUCAAGGACGCCGGGAGCACACCCACACCCUGCGCUCCCAGGGCAGUCCUCGAGAACCCCGGGAUCUGGGGGGCUUGCGGAUGGAGGAGACCCUCAUGCACGAACACCAGCCACAAGUUUUAUUUUCCCUUCGCGCGGCAAGUUCUCUGGCUCCCGCUCCACACUGGCACGUCCUGCACGGCUCCCCGCCCUUCCCCGGCAGAGGAUUAGGAGACAAUGGAAUUCACUCAUCACCAAAACUAUGCCGUGUCCAUUGUGGGUUUGGAGACAUUUGGAAAAAUCUCAACACAGCCAAAGCUUUUGAGUGGUCAGACUGUCAAUCUCUCUGUCCCCUAAACUGGGGUAGUGCCUCUCUGACAGCAUGGAUGGGCGGAGCAUUUGUAGUGAACAAUGUAACAAUGUCAAAGUCCCUUUUUAAAAUUGUGUACUUACAUGGACUGUGUUUAUUAUGGAUUGUGAAUAUGAUUUUUAGAAGGCACUUCAUAAGACUUCAGACCACAAACCCUGCUGUUUCCCAACACUCCAAACAAACUGAUUUUUGAAUCAUCUGGGUUCCCAUGUGUUAAAGAGCUGCAUGUUUUUAUGAUGGUAAUUGUUUUUUUGUGAUUAUUCACAAUCACAAAGUACAGGCAACACAGCUAAUUGGAUUAUAUUUUGGAUUUUUACCGCAGAACCACAGAUCAUCAGAGCUAGAAAGGCCUUUCUUUACCCGGCUCCUUCCUUGAAUAUGGGAGUCCCAAAGGUGCCAGGCUGUCAGGCCGCCUUCCCACCCCAACCAGUUAAUACCUAAAAGGGGCUCUGGCCAUGGUUCAGUGCCCUUUGACUCUGUAGUGUGCUGUUUGUUGUUCCUCGAUAGGCAGAAGUCAGUGGCUACCUUCCUGAUGUAGACUUGAACAAACUGUUAAGUGGUGAGCUGGGAGGAGACCUGAUGGGGCGGGGCCCCGAGCACUGCAGUGUCCAAGCCAGAGACUGAUAAAGGACUAAAGGAGAAGGCUACUACGUCACUCCACUGUUUUUCUUAAGGUUGGUAUUGUUGGAGUUGGAGUCUUGCAAUGCAAGAACCCAGACAGGCCUUGAACUGGAGAGAGCAUCCUGACACUGGCCACACCACCACCACCACCAAGUUUUAUUUUUCCUUCGCAGAUUGUGUUGUUUUGUUGAGAUGGUGUCUCAUGCGGCCCAGGCUGAUGGCGAACUCCAUAGAUUGCGGAGGAUCACGGCCUUGAACUUCUGACAUUCUUGCCUCUGCUGUUGCAAUUGUAGCUUGGGGCCACCGUGCCAGGUUUGCAGUGCUGGAGAUCAACCCCUAGGCUCCCAGUGCUCGCUAACAGGGAAGCUUCCACCAACUGAGCCACACACCCAGCCUUCAGGAGGUUGUUUUGCUUGUCCCAUCUCACUGCACUCACCACAUACCUAGGUGGCAACACUCUGCUACAGGCCUUCUUCCCCUGCUCCCUGGUUCUGAGAUUUGACCGAUGUACAGAUUGUAGGGUGACCAUCAAGAUAAACAUGUGGGACAGUUUCAUUGUCCAAAGCAAACACACACACACACAAAAAAAAAAAAAAAAAAAACCCCCCNNNNUAUAACUCACACUGCCUUGAGGACUCGCCCCCACCCCCACCCCCACCCCCACCCCAUUCUGCCCUUGCCCACGCUCUCCUGGGCUCUCUGGCCCCUGGCCACUUUUCCUUUUCUAUCUCUGGGUCCUCCCUUCGUCUCUACUUUUCCUUUAAACAUUGGUGUGCUUCCUCUGCCUGAUGCUCUCCUCCAGCUACCCCCUCUCUGGAUGACCUUCCUAGCAGGAUGAGUUUAAAUACCACCCACAUGCUGAUGCUGCUCCAAAUCUCCUCCGGCCCUGACCUUGCCCGAGUUCCAGGCUCUGCACAGUAUCCUUUCUCUAUACAUCUCUGUUUACAUUUCCUAGAGGUAUUCCGGAUGUGGACGCAACACUGCCAAAGCCACACACAUACUAUUCUCCCCUACAUUUGAACCUCUUUUUGGAAUCUUCAUCAGUGAAGAGCCUUAGCCAGCCUGGAGGCAAUGUGGCUGAACUCUGCCCUUACCGUGUGCAACUCUGUAGAAUCCACCUUGAAAAUUUUGCUCAAAACUGUCUUAUUAUUAUUUCUCAAUUUAAAUUUAUUACAUUUUAAAAGUUUUAUUUCCAUGGUAUGUGUGUGCAUGUGUGAUCAUAGGACAGCUUUCAGGAAUCUGUUCUCGCUUUCUCCUAGGUUGCAGAGGUUGAAUUUAGCUAGUCAGGGUCAGGCUUCAUCAGCAAAAAUGUAUACCCAAUGGACCAUCAAAGCCUUCUCUCCUGCUACAGUAUAUCAGACCUCUUGCACCUGAGGCCAGGGGAUGGUCUCCCACAGCUGCCCACGAGGACUCUUAGUCCAUUUAUAUGCCUGGGAAGCUUUCCCACACUUUUCUAACCAGGUCAGAUGGCUCUCAAUAGACACUUAACCCACGGGAAGGUCCUCCGUGUACCUUACCUUGUGUGACCAUUUGCUUUAUCAUCCGUCACUGCCAAGCCACGAGCUCCCGUCCAGUUUGCUCUCCUUGUACCCAGUACAGUACCUGCUAGUUCAUGGCUGACGAUAAAUAAUUUUGGUGGUGGACAGAUUGAUAAAUGGGUGAAUGCUGCUGUCCAAUUUCACCCUAGGAUCUGUUUUGUGUGGUCAUGUGCAGAAGUCAAACUGACUGCAGUUUCCCCUUAAUGGUGUUAGCCCUUUAUAUUGGUCUCCUAACAUAGAAAAUGUUAUUUGCAUUCUUCUUUUUCUUUUUUCUUUUCUUUUCCUUUUUUUUUUCCUUUUCCAUUUUCUGGAACAGUAUGUUAAAGACUAUUAAUUAGGCCUGGACUGAUGAUACACACCAGCAAUUGGGAGGCAGAGGCAGGAGGAUCACUGUAAGUUCAGGGUUAGCCUUGUCUGCCUAGUAAGUCCCAGAGCAGAAAAGAAUACAUAAUAAAACCCUGUCUC
ensembl:lincRNA C030037D09Rik RIKEN cDNA C030037D09 gene